AAUUAAGCAUAUAAAUAAGCGGAGGAAAAGAAACUAACAAGGAUUCCUCUAGUAAGGGCGACUGAAGCAGGAAUAGCUCACCAUGUGAAUCUGCGUAACCAGUCUAACUGGCGCGCCGAAUUGUGGUCUGUAGAGGUAGCAUCGACCAAUGCGCCGGGCUAAGUCCCUUGGAAAAGGGCAGCUGAGAGGGUGAUACUCCCGUUCUUGCCUGGUGUCUGUGUGUCAUAGUAUGCGCCUUCAACGAGUCGAGUUGCUUGGGAUUGCAGCUCAAAUUGUGUGGUAAAUUCCAUAUAAAGCUAAAUAUUGGUGGGAGACCGAUAGCGCACAAGUACCGUGAGGGAAAGAUGCAAAGAACUUUGAAAAGAGAGUUAAAAAGUACCUGAAAUUGCUGAAAGGUAAGCGAAGGAAACCAGUGCUUAGUUUAGUCAUAUUUUUCUUGUUACUUGUAGCAAGGACGCUGUGGCUGGACGUUGGUCAAGAUCAAUUUUUUCUGGGGUAACAGUGUUGUCAGGAGGUAGCCCUUCGGGGUGUUUAACUGACUUCACCUAUCCUGGAUGAGAUUGAGGUAAGUCAUGUAAGUGCUCGUGAUCUUGACAAAAUGGUUUUCUUUACCCCGUCUUGAAACACGGACCAAGGAGUCUAACAUAUGUGCGAGUACAGAGGUGGCAAACCUCCGUGCGUAAUGAAAGUAACAGUGGUUGGACUCGUUUGAGGCACAAUCUGCCGGCCAUAAUCCUUCGGGAGAAAGGUCUGAGUGUGAGCAUAUAUGUUGGGACCCGAAAGAUGAUGAACUAUGCCUGAAUAGGGUGAAGCCAGGGGAAACUCUGGUGGAGGCUCGUAGCGAUU
rnacentral:rRNA from 1 species